CCCAUUGGCAGAAUGUAAACCAGAAGCCAACUGCCACGGGAGUCUGAAUAAUCAAGUUUUCAGACCCUAGACAUGGUUGCUUAAUCUCAGUACCAUUGACAUUUUGGGCCAGGUGGCUGUCCUGUGCUUUGGAGGAUGUUUAGUAACAUACUUGGCCUCUACCCACUUGAUACCAGUAUCUCCCUCCCUCCAACCCAGAUGCUUCCAUACAUUGCCAGAUAUCCCCUGGGGGACAAAAUGGCCCCGAUGAAGAACCACCUCCGAGACCCAGCAUUGCAGAGCUGCAUACAGAAGGAGACUGACACACGUUGAUACAGGGAAGUCUGGUAGUUCAUUG